GGAUUCGNAUGGGGGAACCCUGACGCAGCACGCCGCGUGGAGGAUGAAGUCCCUUGGGAUGUAAACUCCUUUCGAUCGGGACGAUUAUGACGGUACCGGAAGAAGAAGCACCGGCUAACUCUGUGCCAGCAGCCGCGGUAAUACGUAGGGGGCCAGCGUUGCUCGGAAUUACUGGGCGUAAAGGGUUCGUAGGCGGUGUGGCAAGUCGGAAGUGAAAUCUCCAGGCUUAACUUGGAGACUGCUCCCGAAACUGCCAUGCUAGAGUGCGGGAGAGGCCAGUGGAAUUGCAGGUGUAGCGGUGAAAUGCGUAGAUAUCUGCAGGAACACCCGUGGCGAAGGCGGCUGGCUGGACCGCAACUGACGCUGAGGAACGAAAGCUAGGGGAGCAAACAGGAUUAGAUACCCUGGUAGUCCUAGCCCUAAACGAUCAGGACUUGGGGUGCAUCCCGUUGGGGGUGCGUCCCGUAGCUAACGCGUUAAGUCCUGCGCCUGGGGAGUACGGUCGCAAGGCUGAAACUCAAAGAAAUUGACGGA
rnacentral:rRNA from 1 species